AUCUUCAGUGUUGAAAUCCUGGUGUUAAAGUCUCUUAGAGUAAAGUGUUAAUUUUCUGGUGUUGAAUCUCAAGGGAUUAACACUAGCUAGUGUAAACCACACUCUGGCUGGUGAAAAUAUGUGGAGUUAAAUCUAAGUAGCACCUGAGAAUGCUUUGACAACACCAAUAAUAGUGUUACUAGUCACAUCCGGGACAUUUACGUGCUGGGCGGAACGAAACGAGCUGAAACUUUACUCACAGACGCCAUUUUCUUUGACUCGAGUCGCAAGGCAUACGAGGAGGAAACACGCAUUUAUUACGUGUUUUAUCGCAUUUAUAGAUUCAUUUUAUAACAUCAUAUUGUUUUAUAACAAUAUGUAUGUUCUGUGGACGAGCAAACCGCUCUCAGAGGGACAUUUUCUAUGACGCGCGAUUCGGGGCAGACCAGGAUGGGUUUGCUUUUUAACCGGGAAACAACGAAAGCGACAUCAUCUUUGACUAGCCUAAAUACGGAGCUGACGAGGAGGAGGCUUAACGUUAACAGGGAAAACACCUACAGUCCUGCAUCUUUGACUCGUGACGCAUUUCAAAAAGCAGUGCAGAAUGCAGACACGGAGUUUGCUUUUAACAGUGAAAACACCGACUAGACCAACUCCACAAACUGCGGACCAACAAUGCACGUGAAAUUUUCACUUUAUUUCCUUAUUUGGAGGACCAAUCUUCUUAGAAUGGGAGCAAUUCUAUGAUGCACCAAGUGGCUAAGGGUACCAGGCUUGGUGUUUAAAGACUGUACAGACUAGAACCUGGUGAUGGAAAGAUAACAGAUAAGUUAACAUAUGAGAGAAUCA